rnacentral:rRNA from 1 species
UACGUAGGGUGCAAGCGUUGUCCGGAAUUAUUGGGCGUAAAGAGCUCGUAGGCGGUUUGUCGCGUCGGCUGUGAAAGCCCCGGAGCUCAACUCCGGGUCUGCAGUCGAUACGGGCAGACUUGAGUGUUGCAGGGGAGACUGGAAUUCCUGGUGUAGCGGUGAAAUGCGUAGAUAUCAGGAGGAACACCGGCGGUGUAGACGGCUUUCUGGACCGUAGCUGACGCUGAGACACGAAAGCGUGGGUAGCAAACAGG